AUGGGGUUGGGGCUGCGCUGGGUUUUCUUUGUUGCUCUUUUAAAAGGUGUCCACUGUGAGGUGCAGCUGGUUGAGUCUGGUGGAGGAUUAGUGAAGCCUGCAGGGUCACUGAAACUCUCCUGUGUGGCUUCUGGAUUCACUUUCAGUGCUGCCUGGAUGAACUGGGUCCGCCAGACUCCAGGGAAGGGACUGGAGUGGGUUGCUCGCAUAGACACUAAAAGUUAUAAUUAUGCAACUUAUUAUGUGGAUUCGGUGAAAGGCAGAUUCACCAUCUCCAGAGAUGAUUCCCGAACCAUGGUUUACCUGCAAAUGAACAACCUGAGAACUGAGGACAUGGCCACUUAUUACUGUACAAGAGACACAAUCAGAUGGGACAUGUAUUCUGGCACUUGGGACUCUCAGAAUACUGAGUGUUACACAGCUUGUAUGGAGCUCUGGAGCCAAGGAACAGCACAGGUCAUAGUAAGCAUAGCCGCUUACAGCCCUGCUCCAGGGAAGCUUCCCCGGUGUAUCAGCUCUGCUCAGGAAUAG